GACGAACGCUGGCGGCGUGCUUAACACAUGCAAGUCGAGCGGUAAGGCCCUUUCGGGGGUACACGAGCGGCGAACGGGUGAGUAACACGUGGGUGACCUGCCCUCAGCUCUGGGAUAAGCCUGGGAAACCGGGUCUAAUACUGGAUAUGACUCCAUGACGCAUGUUGUGGGGUGGAAAGCCUUGUGCGGCUGAGGAUGGGCCCGCGGCCUAUCAGCUUGUUGGUGGGGUGANGGCCUACCAAGGCGACGACGGGUAGCCGGCCUGAGAGGGCGACCGGCCACACUGGGACUGAGACACGGCCCAGACUCCUACGGGGAGGCAGCAGUGGGGAAUCUUGCGCAAUGGGCGAAAGCCUGACGCAGCGACGCCGCGUGAGGGAUGACGGCC
rnacentral:rRNA from 1 species